GUGGGGAAUAUUGGACAAUGGGCGCAAGCCUGAUCCAGCCAUGCCGCGUGUGUGAAGAAGGCCUUUUGGUUGUAAAGCACUUUAAGCGAGGAGGAGGCUCCUUUAGUUAAUACCUAAAGAGAGUGGACGUUACUCGCAGAAUAAGCACCGGCUAACUCUGUGCCAGCAGCCGCGGUAAUACAGAGGGUGCGAGCGUUAAUCGGAUUUACUGGGCGUAAAGCGUGAGUAGGCGGCUUUUUAAGUCGGAUGUGAAAUCCCUGAGCUUAACUUAGGAAUUGCAUUCGAUACUGGAAAGCUAGAGUAUGGGAGAGGAUGGUAGAAUUCCAGGUGUAGCGGUGAAAUGCGUAGAGAUCUGGAGGAAUACCGAUGGCGAAGGCAGCCAUCUGGCCUAAUACUGACGCUGAGGUACGAAAGCGUGGGGAGCAAACAGGAUUAGAAACCCUGGUAGUCC
rnacentral:rRNA from 1 species